GGCCUCAACCUCCGCCUCAAUUAAAUGCUCCUCCUGCCACCACUCAACUGAUGCCUUGGACAACUGUACCAUUCCAUCCAUACGUGUAAAAAUUGUAUCCAUGAUCAUUUUCAGAUGCUUCACUGUUUUGUCCACAUGAACCCAACUUUCAGAUUCUCGCUCUCGCAAAAUGCCACCGAGACCCACCAACUCUGAACCAGAGCAGAUCCUCCUGAUAGAACUGGAACCUCUAAUCCUAUCGAUGCCCUUCUUCAGCUUCUUGAGUUCAUCUGUAGCUAAAUUUCUUAGUCCACCUAAAAUCUCUCUCGUCUUUUCAUGUUCCCGGAAAACAUCUGAUAAA
rnacentral:misc_RNA from 1 species